rnacentral:rRNA from 1 species
UUCGAUCAUGGCUGAAUUGAACGCUGGCGGGAUGCUUUACACAUGCAAGUCAGACGGCAGCACAGACUUCGGUCUGGUGGCGAGUGGCGAACGGGUGAGUAAUGUAUCGGAACGUGCCUAGUAGCCGCGGGGGAUAACUACGCGAAAGCGUAGCUAAUACCGCAUACGCCCUUCGGGGGAAAGCGAGGGGACCUUCCCGGGCCUCGCACUAUUAGAGCGGCCGAUAUCGGAUUAGCUAGUUGGUGGGGUAACGGCUCACCAAGGCGACGAUCCGUAGCUGGUUUGAGAGGACGACCCGACCACACUGGGACUGAGACACGGCCCAGACUCCUACGGGAAGGCAGCAGUGGGGAAUUUUUGGACAAUGGGGAAACCCUGAUCCAGCCAUCCGCGUGUGCGAUGAAGGCCUUCGGGUUGUAAAGCACUUUUGGCAGGAAAACGGCACGGGAUAAUACCCCGUGCAACUGACGAAAUACCUGCAGAAUGACACCGGCUAACUACGUGCCGGCAGCCGCGGUAAUACGUAGGAGUGCAAGCGUUAAUCGGAAUUACUGGGCGUAAAGCGUGCGCAGGCGGUUCGGAAAGAAAGAUGUGAAAUCCCAGAGCUUAACUUUGGAACUGCAUUUUAACUACCGAGCUAGAGUGUGUCAGAGAGUGGAAUUCCGCGUGUAGCAGUGAAAUGCGUAGAUAUGCGGAGGAACACCGAUGGCGAAGGCAGCCUCCUGGGAUAACACUGACGCUCAUGCACGAAAGCGUGGGGAGCAAACAGAGUUAGAUACCCUGGUAGUCCACGCCUAAACGAUGUCAACUAGCUGUUGGGGCCUUCGGGCCUUGGUAGCGCAGCUAACGCGUGAAGUUGACCGCCUGGGAGAGUACGGUCGCAAGAUUAAAACUCAAAGGAAUUGACGGGGACCCGCACAAGCGGUGGAUGAUGUGGAUUAAUUCGAUGCAACGCGAAAAACCUUACCUACCCUUGACAUGUCUGGAAUCCCGAAGAGAUUUGGGAGUGCUCGCAAAGAGAACCGGAACACAGGUGCUGCAUGGCUGUCGUCAGCUCGUGUCGUGAGAUGUUGAGUUAAGUCCCGCAACGAGCGCAACCCUUGUCAUUAGUUGCUACGAAAGGGCACUCUAAUGAGACUGCCGGUAUUCAAACCGGAGGAAGGUGGGGAUGACGUCAAGUCCUCAUGGCCCUUGCUUAUGGGUAGGGCUUCACACGUCAUACAAUGGUCGGGACAGAGGGUCGCCAACCCGCGAGGGGGAGCCAAUCCCAGAAACCCGAUCGUAGUCCGGAUCGCAGUCUGCAACUCGACUGCGUGAAGUCGGAAUCGCUAGUAAUCGCGGAUCAGCAUGUCGCGGUGAAUACGUUCCCGGGUCUUGUACACACCGCCCGUCACACCAUGGGAGUGGGUUUUACCAGAAGUAGUUAGCCUAACCGUAAGGAGGGCGAUUACCACGGUAGGAUUCAUGACUGGGGUGAAGUCGUAACAAGGUAA